rnacentral:rRNA from 1 species
ACGUGUUACAAUGGGGGGUACAGAGGGCCGCUACCACGCGAGUGGAUGCCAAUCCCAAAAACCUCUCUCAGUUCGGACUGGAGUCUGCAACCCGACUCCACGAAGCUGGAUUCGCUAGUAAUCGCGCAUCAGCCACGGCGCGGUGAAUACGUUCCCGGGCCUUGUACACACCGCCCGUCAAGCCAUGGGAGCCGGGGGUACCUGAAGUGCGUAACCGCGAGGAGCGCCCUAGGGUAAAACUGGUGACUGGGGCUAAGUCGUAACAAGGUAAC